AAUAAACACAAAAAGAGAAAUCUCUCUUUUACUAUUGAGCACAAAGGACCACCCUGGGAUCUGGUUUCCAUCACUGAUUUUCGAUGGAAAACGAUCGGCUGAGGAAAUUAAGAAAAAACAUGAGGCGUCUCCAAAAAGAGGAGGAAGGAUCGAGACUUCCUUUUCUGUCAUCUACCACCGAAGAACGGAGACGUCCUGAGACAAAGACAGAAAAGCUGGAAGGAGAUCUGAAGGCAGCAAGGGACCUGAUUUAUAC